AUAGCUCAGUUGGUAGAGCACGACCUUGCCAAGGUCGGGGUCGCGAGUUCGAGCCUCGUU
rnacentral:tRNA from 4 species